GUUAUGAGAUCUGUCCCUUUAACAGGGGCGGAGUUAAGAGAACCAGGAAACAGAGGUCCAUUGAGGCUGGCUCAGAGAAAUGCAAGGCGAGCACACUCCAGCCCCACUGUGCAGCUAAAAGGCCCAAGGUUGGUCCAUUCAAUUACAAAAGAUGUAACAACAUAUAUUGCAGGUGAAAGUAUCCAGGACACAAUUACACAGCUGCUGUUUAUUGGAUAGGCACUAACAGAUUUCACAAUGUUGACUGACAAAAACAAAAAGAGAUCAUGAAGUUUCUAUGAGAGGCAUUAGAUCCUACCGCGAACUAAUCGCAUCACUUGCAAACAAACGUCAGGGCUACCCUUGGAAGGAAACUUGACAGUAAGGAGAGAGAGCUCAACAAA